UACGUAGGGUGCAAGCGUUGUCCGGAAUUAUUGGGCGUAAAGAGCUCGUAGGCGGUUUGUUGCGUCGGCUGUGAAAUCCCGAGGCUCAACCUCGGGUCUGCAGUCGAUACGAGCAAACUAGAGUGUUGCAGGGGAGACUGGAAUUCCUGGUGUAGCGGUGAAAUGCGCAGAUAUCAGGAGGAACACCGGUGGCGAAGGCGGGUCUCUGGGCAACAACUGACGCUGAGGCGCGAGAGCGUGGGGAGCAAACAGG
rnacentral:rRNA from 1 species